UGGGGAAUCUUGCGCAAUGGGGGAAACCCUGACGCAGCGACGCCGCGUGCGGGAUGAAGGCCUUCGGGUUGUAAACCGCUUUCAGCAGGGACGAAAUUGACGGUACCUGCAGAAGAAGGCCCGGCCAACUACGUGCCAGCAGCCGCGGUAAUACGUAGGGGCCAAGCGUUGUCCGGAUUUAUUGGGCGUAAAGAGCUCGUAGGCGGUUCGGCAAGUGAGCUGUGAAAUCUCCACGCUCAACGUGGAGAGGUCAGCUGAGACUGCCGUGACUAGAGUCCGGUAGGGGAGUGUGGAAUUCCCGGUGUAGCGGUGAAAUGCGCAGAUAUCGGGAGGAACACCAGUAGCGAAGGCGGCACUCUGGGCCGGUACUGACGCUGAGGAGCGAAAGCGUGGGGAGCAAACAGGAUUAGAUACCCUGGUAGUCCACGCCGUAAACGUUGGGCACUAGGUGUGGGACUCUAUCGACGGGUUCCGUGCCGUAGCUAACGCAUUAAGUG
rnacentral:rRNA from 1 species